rnacentral:rRNA from 1 species
UACGGAGGGUGCAAGCGUUAUCCGGAUUCACUGGGUUUAAAGGGUGCGUAGGUGGGCAAGUAAGUCAGUGGUGAAAUCUCCGGGCUUAACCCGGAAACUGCCAUUGAUACUAUUUGUCUUGAAUACUGUGGAGGUCAGCGGAAUAUGUCAUGUAGCGGUGAAAUGCUUAGAUAUGACAUAGAACACCAAUUGCGAAGGCAGCUGGCUACACAAAUAUUGACACUGAGGCACGAAAGCGAGGGGAGCAAACGGG